GAACGCUAGCUACAGGCUUAACACAUGCAAGUCGAGGGGCAGCAUGGUCUUAGCUUGCUAAGGCCGAUGGCGACCGGCGCACGGGUGAGUAACACGUAUCCAACCUGCCGUCUACUCUUGGACAGCCUUCUGAAAGGAAGAUUAAUACAAGAUGGCAUCAUGAGUCCACAUGUUCACAUGAUUAAAGGUAUUCCGGUAGACGAUGGGGAUGCGUUCCAUUAGAUAGUAGGCGGGGUAACGGCCCACCUAGUCUUCGAUGGAUAGGGGUUCUGAGAGGAAGGUCCCCCACAUUGGAACUGAGACACGGUCCAAACUCCUACGGGAGGCAGCAGUGAGGAAUAUUGGUCAAUGGGCGAGAGCCUGAACCAGCCAAGUAGCGUGAAGGAUGACUGCCCUAUGGGUUGUAAACUUCUUUUAUAAAGGAAUAAAGUCGGGUAUGCAUACCCGUUUGCAUGUACUUUAUGAAUAAGGAUCGGCUAACUCCGUGCCAGCAGCCGCGGUAAUACGGAGGAUCCGAGCGUUAUCCGGAUUUAUUGGGUUUAAAGGGAGCGUAGAUGGAUGUUUAAGUCAGUUGUGAAAGUUUGCGGCUCAACCGUAAAAUUGCAGUUGAUACUGGAUAUCUUGAGUGCAGUUGAGGCAGGCGGAAUUCGUGGUGUAGCGGUGAAAUGCUUAGAUAUCACGAAGAACUCCGAUUGCGAAGGCAGCCUGCUAAGCUGCAACUGACAUUGAGGCUCGAAAGUGUGGGUAUCAAACAGGAUUAGAUACCCUGGUAGUCCACACGGUAAACGAUGAAUACUCGCUGUUUGCGAUAUACUGCAAGCGGCCAAGCGAAAGCGUUAAGUAUUCCACCUGGGGAGUACGCCGGCAACGGUGAAACUCAAAGGAAUUGACGGGGGCCCGCACAAGCGGAGGAACAUGUGGUUUAAUUCGAUGAUACGCGAGGAACCUUACCCGGGCUUAAAUUGCAGAUGAAUUACGGUGAAAGCCGUAAGCCGCAAGGCAUCUGUGAAGGUGCUGCAUGGUUGUCGUCAGCUCGUGCCGUGAGGUGUCGGCUUAAGUGCCAUAACGAGCGCAACCCUUGUUGUCAGUUACUAACAGGUUCUGCUGAGGACUCUGACAAGACUGCCAUCGUAAGAUGUGAGGAAGGUGGGGAUGACGUCAAAUCAGCACGGCCCUUACGUCCGGGGCUACACACGUGUUACAAUGGGGGGUACAGAGGGCCGCUACCACGCGAGUGGAUGCCAAUCCCAAAAACCUCUCUCAGUUCGGACUGGAGUCUGCAACCCGACUCCACGAAGCUGGAUUCGCUAGUAAUCGCGCAUCAGCCACGGCGCGGUGAAUACGUUCCCGGGCCUUGUACACACCGCCCGUCAAGCCAUGGGAGCCGGGGGUACCUGAAGUGCGUAACCGCGAGGAGCGCCCUAGGGUAAAACUGGUGACUGGG
rnacentral:rRNA from 1 species